UACGAAACAAGACUAGUUUGUUUGUUGUGUUUCCGAUACCGCUUCACCGCAAGUUUAUAUGUUUGGCUGAAGAACUUAAUGAACAACUUCAUCACAAAUCAGUUGUGAAAAUAAUAAAAUUUACAGAAAUUUGUUCCGACUAAUUGAAGUCUCAAAAGUAAGUGAAACGGAAGAAAAUUAACAUUGGAGUUCGAUGGUUGUGGUUGAUGUUGAGAUCUGAAACGAAAACCUCCAAUACGCACCGUUGUUCUACGAAAUCGGAAUAAAGGGGAGAAAAACUUGUAGGUGCAAUGUGCAAUCCGUAAUAACGGAAACAGUAUCCGAAGAAAACUAUGACCCAAAUAACUCCCAACUCAGUCCAAUCCGUGGAAGUGAUGGUGGGUCUUUCGUCGGUCAUACGGUGCUUGGAAUAUGUACAGGCCAUGCGUAACCUGAAGCAAACGUUAACAAACAAAAGAUUUGCCGAAAAACACAAGCAACUAUCAAUUUAAUUGAAAAUACCGCUAUUGCGCCGUAAAUCGAACAGAAUAUGUUUGUUCUUUAGUUUUAACCUGUUUUGCCCUAAAUAAUAAUUUAGAUUUUAA